UUUUAAAGCCAYGUGGUUUCCACGUCGCGUUGUARAUUCAAGAAACGUUUUCUCUUACGRGUCUGAUUUAAGUCUGUUGGAAAGCAGCAUCAUAGAGGGUGAAAAUCCCGUCUUUGAUUGGAACGCUGUAAGUCUACGAUACGUUUUCGAAGAGUCAGGUUGUUUGGGAAUGCAGCCUAAAAUGGGUGGUAAAUUUCAUCUAAAGCUAAAUAUUGCCACGAGACCGAUAGCGAACAAGUACCGUGAGGGAAAGAUGAAAAGAACUUUGAAAAGAGAGUUAAAUAGUACGUGAAACUGUUAAAAGGGAAUCUUAUGAGGCUAGUAUUUGGACUUGUCAUAAUCAAUUAGUCGUAUUGCGGACUGGUGGGCUGGGGAGUGUUAAAACCUCGAGCUGCCAGUGUAAUUGACCGACUAGUGCACUUGUGAUUUGUUCAGGCCAGCAUCAGUUUGGAGUGGUGUAUAAGGGUAUUCGGAAGGUGAUUUGACCCCUUGUGGGUGGAAUGUUAUAGCCGUUUGCCACUGCAUGGCGCCAGACUGAGGAGUCGCGGAACGUGCCAUUUGGCUAGCUCCCUGGUGCAUAGGCGGCCCGAAAUGUAGUGUGACACAAGUCCGCUGCAACAGAGGGACGACUACGUGGUAGGUGCAGUAUAAACGUUUUGAGGAUGUUGGUGAAAUGGCCUUAUCAGUCCCGUCUUGAAACACGGACCAAGGAGUCUAACAUAUAUGCGAGUCUUUGGGUGAGAAACCCGCAGGCGCAAUGAAAGUGAAGGCUAACAUGGUUAGCUGAGGUGAGAACCUUUGGUGCAUCAUCGACCGAUCUGAAUGGUUUCCUGAAAGAUUUGAGUAAGAGCACAUAUGUUGGGACCCGAAAGAUGGUGAACUAUGCCUGAAUAGGGUGAAGUCUGAAGAAAUUCAGAUGGAAGCUCGUAGCGAUUCUGACGUGCAAAUCGAUCGUCAAAUUUGGGUAUAGGGGCGAAAGACUAAUCGAACUAUCUAGUAGCUGGUUCCCUCCGAAGUUUCCCUCAGGAUAGCUGGAACUAUUACGCAGUUUUAUCAGGUAAAGCGAAUGAUUAGAGGACUCGGUGGCGCAAUGCUGUCGGCCUAUUCUCAAACUUUAAAUAGGUAAGAAGUCUGACCCGCUUAAUUGGGGCCAGACACUGAAUGCAAGUUCCAUGUGGGCCAUUUUUGGUAAGCAGAACUGGCGAUGCGGGAUGAACCGAACGUUAAGUUAAAGUGCCAAAGUACACGCUCACCUAGAACCCAGAAAAGGUGUUGGUAGAUGAAGACAGCAGGACGGUGGCCAUGGAAGUCGGAAUCCGCUAAGGAGUGUGUAACAACUCACCUGCCGAAUCUACUAGCCCUGAAAAUGGAUGGCGCUCAAGCGUGUCACUUAUACUUAACCGUCAGGGCAAAUGCGAAGCUUUGACGAGUAGGAGGGCGUGAUGAUUGUUUAGAAGCCUAGAGCGUAAGCUUGGGUGAAACGGUC
rnacentral:rRNA from 1 species